CCUACUCCUUCGUCCGACUCUUCCGCUGCGCCGGACUCACCAGUACCCACCUUACCCCCUCGUGCUAUUCCUACAGCAGCCCCGAUUAAUGAUCAUCGCAUGCGUACUAGGGCCAAAUCAGGAUUUCAUCAACCCCAAGACCGCCUAAACCUUCAUACCUCCGUAUCUCUCACUUCUCUUCCAAAGAAUUACAAAACUGCUCUACUUGAUCCCAAUUGGGCCGCUGCCAUGCAAGAAGAAUAUAAUGCUUUACUUCAAAACAACACCUGGCAACUUGUUCCUCGUCCUCCCAAUACAAAUAUUGUUUCUGGCAAAUGA
rnacentral:rRNA from 1 species